CCUACGAGAGGCAGCAGUGGGGAAUAUUGCACAAUGGGGGAAACCCUGAUGCAGCGACGCCGCGUGAGUGAAGAAGUAUUUCGGUUUGUAAAGCUCUAUCAGCAGGGAAGAAGAAAGACGGUACCUGACUAAGAAGCACCGGCUAACUACGGGACAGCAGCAGCGGUAAUAAGUAGGGGGCAAGCGUUAACCGGAUUUACUGGGUGUAAAGGGAGCGUAGCCGGCUGGGCAAGUCUGAAGUGAAAGCCCAGGGCUCAAACCUGGGACUGCUUUGGAAACCGUUGAGCUAGAGUGCUGGAGAGGUAAGUGGAAUUCCUAGUGUAGCGGUGAAAUGCGUAGAUAUUAGGAGGAACACCAGUGGCGAAGGCGGCUUACUGGACAGUAACUGACGUUGAGGCUCGAAAGCGUGGGGAGCAAACAGGAUUAGAUACCCGUGUAGUC
rnacentral:rRNA from 1 species